rnacentral:rRNA from 1 species
CCUACGGGAGGCAGCAGUGGGGAAUAGUGGACAAUGGGGGCAACCCUGAUCCAGCCAUGCCGCGUGUGUGAAGAAGGCCCUCGGGUUGUAAAGCACUUUCAGUGAGGAAGAACGCCUGGUGGUUAAUACCCAUCAGGAAAGACAUCACUCACAGAAGAAGCACCGGCUAACUCCGUGCCAGCAGCCGCGGUAAUACGGAGGGUGCGAGCGUUAAUCGGAAUUACUGGGCGUAAAGCGCGCGUAGGUGGCUUGAUAAGCCGGUUGUGAAAGCCCCGGGCUCAACCUGGGAACGGCAUCCGGAACUGUCAAGCUAGAGUGAAGGAGAGGAAGGUAGAAUUCCCGGUGUAGCGGUGAAAUGCGUAGAGCUCGGGAGGAAUACCAGUGGCGAAGGCGGCCUUCUGGACUGACACUGACACUGAGGUGCGAAAGCGUGGGUAGCAAACAGGAUUAGAUACCCGUGUAGUC